rnacentral:tRNA from 1 species
GGAGAGGUGGCUGAGUGGUCGAAAGCGGCGGAUUGCUAAUCCGUUGUAGGUCGAGUAAUCUCCUACCGAGGGUUCGAAUCCCUCCCUCUCCG